rnacentral:rRNA from 1 species
AACGAACGCUGGCGGCAGGCUUAACACAUGCAAGUCGAACGCAUCGCAAGAUGAGUGGCAGACGGGUGAGUAACGCGUGGGAACAUACCCUUUUCUACGGAAUAGCUCUGGGAAACUGGAAUUAAUACCGUAUACGCCCUACGGGGGAAAGAUUUAUCGGGGAAGGAUUGGCCCGCGUUGGAUUAGCUAGUUGGUGGGGUAAAGGCCUACCAAGGCGACGAGCCAUAGCUGGUCUGAGAGGAUGAUCAGCCACAUUGGGACUGAGACACGGCCCAAACUCCUACGGGAGGCAGCAUUGGGGAAUAUUGGACAAUGGGCGCAAGCCUGAUCCAGCCAUGCCGCGUGAGUGAUGAAGGCCUUAGGGUUGUAAAGCUCUUUCACCGAUGAAGAUAAUGACGGUAGUCGGAGAAGAAGCCCCGGCUAACUUCGUGCCAGCCGCCGCCGUAA